CAAGACAGGGUGAUAAGACUUAGUCUUUAAAUAGACAAACAACACUUCUUCAAUUUCAUCAAGAUAACACUCCACGGCCUUUAUCCAAAUUCCCACUUCAGCAGCAAAUUAAGCCACAACCAGAGAUUCUGAUAUGAAUUUGCUGCAAAAGAAUUGAACCUGUAAUUGAAGAAAAAGAGGAGAAAUUAUCACUUUUUCAAUUGAAUUUGAGGGAAGAGAAUCAAAAGCAUCUUACAAUUUGGACGGAGGAGAGAAGAAGCAAUGGAAUUGGGGCAGUGUUCGAUCCCCAACCUCAUCUUCAACACCCACAGCCACCGCCUCCAACCUAACCCACCACCCCCAACCUCACCCAUAAUCUGAUCCCCAGGAUGCAAAAGACCAG
rnacentral:lncRNA from 1 species